rnacentral:rRNA from 1 species
GACGAACGCUGGCGGCGUGCUUAAUACAUGCAAGUAGAACGCUGAAGAGAGGAGCUUGCUCUUCUUGGAUGAGUUGCGAACGGGUGAGUAACGCGUAGGUAACCUGCCUUGUAGCGGGGGAUAACUAUUGGAAACGAUAGCUAAUACCGCAUAACAAUGGAUGACCCAUGUCAUUUAUUUGAAAGGGGCAAAUGCUCCACUACAAGAUGGACCUGCGUUGUAUUAGCUAGUAGGUGAGGUAACGGCUCACCUAGGCGACGAUACAUAGCCGACCUGAGAGGGUGAUCGGCCACACUGGGACUGAGACACGGCCCAGACUCCUACGGGAGGCAGCAGUAGGGAAUCUUCGGCAAUGGGGGCAACCCUGACCGAGCAACGCCGCGUGAGUGAAGAAGGUUUUCGGAUCGUAAAGCUCUGUUGUAAGUCAAGAACGAGUGUGAGAGUGGAAAGUUCACACUGUGACGGUAGCUUACCAGAAAGAGACGGCUAACUACGUG